GCGCUCGUUGUCUAGGGGUUAUGAUGGAUCCCUGCCAUUGUGCGGGGGUUUAUCCCUCGGAACCGUAGAACGGAUCCGGCCCGGGUUCGAAUCCCGGCGAGCGCA
rnacentral:tRNA from 1 species